CGUGCCCGCUCCAGUGCCCUCAUGUCACCUCCUCACGUGGCGCUUUAUCACCUCACAUCCUCCCAGGAGGAAGCACUACGACAGAGAGGGCACAGUCACAUAACCUGUGUUUCAGUCCUGUCGCAAUCACUCUGUUUUACCAGAUCCAGGAACUAAAGCCACAUCAGAUGUUUAUUUUAAGGAGCUAGAGAAACAUCUAAGUCCAUGCACCAAAUGAGACAGGGGACACAUCCGGAGGCAGACGACUCAAGGUUGGAUGUUUGAACGCUGAGAUCCCAAGUAUUUACUCCUGCCCCUAACAUUUUCCGGGCCCCAAUCUUCUGUGCUCUGUGGUCCUAAACGCUGGGCUUUCACUCGAGCGCUCGCCAUCUGUUCAAACAAACCCAAAGCCGCUGUUUUUUCUUCUCUCACGGGUAAGUUACGCACCAUAAAAUGCACCCGUUGUAUUUGUAUGGUCCAGGAUUUUUAGCAAAGUUAUGGACCUGUGCAACCACCACCACUAUCCAGCCUUCAGACGUUUCCAUGGACCCCCUAAAAGCUCCUUCAUUGUCACCUGUAGUCUGUCUCUCUCUCCCACCCAAACCCCACAAUCACUGAUCUGCUUUCUGUCUCUAUCAGAGCUUCUUUUUAGAACACAGUUUUGGUUGUGACCAUCCAUAAAUACUUCUACGUGAAGCUGGGGUGGUCCUCUGGGUAAGAAUACAAAUUGCGUUCCUCAAUUUAAAAAAGAUUAAAAAAAUAUUUAUUUAUGUUUGAGAGAGAAACUGUGAGAGGGGGAGGGGCACUCAACCGACUGAGCCACCCAGGCACCCCUGCACUCCUCCAUUUUUUACAACAGAAUGUAACCUCACGCCUGCGUGUCUGUCUUUGGCCAUGACCAGACCUGCCCAAGGAAAGCAGCGCAGUGGACAUGAACGGAAAAUUGUUAGGCCUUGCAGUAUAGGAGCAGGGAGAGGGAGAUUGCUGUGAAUUCUAGCACACAAGACAGGAAGUUCAAGGCCUAGGAUGUGGCUAUCGGGCCCAAGUAACAUGGCUUUCCUCCGAGUAGCAGACAGACAGCUUUACAUGGAGGUACAAGCUGUUUCUGGGUGAUAAGCAGUAAACGUGGUUCUAUAGGUAUUGGACCCAGCGGACAUCUCGUUUUGUGUGGGCUCGCAAGACACGCCUCGGUGAGAUACGGAAGAGGCAGGCAUCAGAGAACUUCCUGGGAGCGCCUGGGUGACUCAGUCGGUUAAGUGUUCGACUUCCACUCAGGUCAUGAUCUCACGGUUCGUGAGUUUGAGCCCCGCUCUGCGCUGACAGCUCAGAG